CUAUGCAUCGUCCACACUGGCUGUACCUUUUUGCAGAAGCACAGUUGAAACAUUACGUACUUGGACUUCUCAAUAGAUAACUUGCAUACAGAUACAAUAAAUAUAAUAAUCCUAUUCUUUAGGUUCAUCUACUUCAUCAACUGUCUUUCAAUGCUUACUGGUGCCAGCUCAAAUUCCGCCCAGUUUUCUGACUCUUGGACCAAAAGGUCAAAUCUGGACUCCAUGGCAUCGCACCUGGACUCCUGGCAUGGCUGAGGCAACAUUCGGGAGGGAGAGGAGAGUCGUUCGUUCACCGCCUGCCUUGCCCAGACAACGAGCGCUGCUCCUACCCACUCCCGGGAAGGCGUCAAGGUGGGCCCGGCCCCGAGAGCCAGGCCGCAGCUCAGGACCAGUUCUGUGCACUGCGUGCAGGUCGGCUUUGCCCGUCUCCUCUGUGAGUCUGGAAUCUCCUGCAGGGAGCCUGAUGGGGGCCGCGAUCCCAGGACCCGGGAUCAUGACCUGGGCAGAAGGCAGAGGCUCAACCACGGAGCCACCCAGGUGCCCCUUGAGGUCAGUAUUGGAGUCAGGAGAAAGGGCACGAAGAAGGUGAACGGGCAUCAGGAGUAGGAGCUGGUCAGCGGGCGGGGUCAGAACCCCUGGGUGUGGGGGCCUGGUGAUGGGGAAGGGGCAAAGAGCAACCAAGAGUUGAAGUCAGGAGUCCAGGAGAUCAGAAUUGGGUUGUUGAUCGGAUAGCAGGAAUCUUCUCCGAGGAGCAUGAGGAAGCACCAUGGCUGAGGCCUAGCGUGUGACCUGCUGACUUCCAGCAAGGUCUUACACAUGAGGACGGCAAAUAGGUGAUGACGUCUUACAUCUUGCUUGCCGAUCCCGACUGAAUGGUGAUGGCCAUGUGAUGUGCGGUGUUCAGGAGGGUCGAUCCUGGGGUUGAAAGAUGCUGUGUUCAUGGGUGAUGUCUGCUGUAAAUAGGUCAAAGACUACUUACUGCCGUAUAUUUCCUAUUCCUACUUUGAUGGUCUCUCCUGAUAUUCCUUAUUGCAUCCACCUAGGUGCCCGGUUCACCCAUAAUCUGAGUUCCGAACAGGUGCUGUGCUGCUGGUCCUAGUCAUGGGACUGCCGUGGAGAUGAGAAACCUCCUACCAUUGACUCCCUGGAGUGCAGUCUCAGAUCUGUUCUCUUAAUAUACUAUUAGUUUCAGCAGCGAAGGGUAUCGUGUGUAUAAAAUCUUUUAGGCAGAAAAUAAUAGGUAGUUUCAAGGUUUAGAGGCUGUGCCUGGUUGUAGGCCACUGUCUGCCACGUGGUCAUGGGUCCUUCUCUUUGAGGAGCAUGAAUAGCCUGGGAACCUUGUGGAUGGUGAUUAGUGAGGAAGCAAGGUGGUUCAUGCCAUGCUGCUUGCCCUACCUGGGGAUAAACUCGGGCUUUUCCAGAUUAAUAAGGAGCGGAUAGGUAAUAAGCAGUUGGUAAGUGAAAUGAACUCUGUUAGGCACACGUCACAAGGCAAGUAUGACCCAGUCCCUGCCCUCCUGGGGCUUCUACUUGAGGGAGUGUAUGUGGCAGUGGAGUUGAGGAAGGAUGGGUAGGAAAAAUUAGUGAUA
rnacentral:lncRNA from 12 species